CAGCAGGGAUCGAGCGCUCCUUCAACUGGCUCUCUGCUUUUACGACAAGCCUAAGAUAAUCAUCGGAACGACGAUGAUAAGUGUCCGGCGUAGGUUCAUCGCCUCCGUUGGCGGUUUGGCUGGGAUAUUUUAAGUUGGUGAGACUUUCAGAGAGGUGGAGAAGGACAAGAGAGAGAAAGAGAGAGAAAUGGCAGCUGGUGUGUUUGACUGAUCUACAAUUCCAAAUCAAUGUUUCAGUGGGGACUUUAAGCUCAGAAGGCCAUCUCUCCCUCCUAGUUCAGUCACCUCAACAAGAUGACUGUGGAGCCUGAGCAAAGGGUACCAAAUUUUAUUGAGGCUGGGACAGACAUUGCCAGUGUUCACUGUGAGCAAUCUGCCACUAUACAUUUGCAUUGUACACUUUAUCAAGUAAGAUCGCUCUGGAUUUCAAGAUUAUCCCUGUUUCAGGAUUUUUCUUUCUUAUAUGCUAUGCCCAUGCACCCAUUUGAUGAGAGGACCCCACUUGGUUGGAUUUUAGUCAUGAUGACUGAUGCCCUGCUGUUGUUAAUGUGUCCCUUUGGAUAUAAUUAUGGUGAUAUAACUCAUUUGGGAUGGGUGAUGAUCAAGAUAGCCUGAAUGUAUUAGUCAUACUGUAGUAUGCCUACAUCCACAUUCUUUUAAAAUGUCUUGAAGAUGCUUGAAAAAUCUGUACGCAAUCUAUGUGAGUAUUCAUUAGUAGUGAUUAGGCAAGAUCCUUAUGACAUUCACUUGACCCAUUUUGGUGUCACACUGAUUCUUUUGUAGUGAAAUCAAGUAUUCAAAGGUUCACACAAGUUUGAUCCUAUGAACUGUCACUAAAAAACAUAGUUCCUAAGCAGCUGAAACAAGGAGGCAUCUGUAACAGGGUGGGGGAGGGAAUGAGGUGAAGAACAGAGAAAUCUUAGUCACUCCAAUAGAGCAAGGAGCGAGAAGAGGAGUUGACUAAGGCCGAGAGUCAUGCUCAAGACCAAGCUUGCUAAAGGCUUAAGGAUCAGCAAGCAGUAUGAAUCCAAGCAGCAGCAAGGACCGACCAAGCUGUCUUAGUGAGGGGCUGUCUUAUUCGAAAAGCAAAGGAGCAUGCAUGAGCUCUACGUUCAAAUCAGUCUAGGGUGCUCCCAGUGAUCGAUCGGUUACGAAAAGCCAGCGCCAAAAAGUGCCUCAGGAAUCCACCCGUCGGUCAGAGGCCGGUCCCUUCAUUCUCAUAAAGCCUGGUGAGGAGCUCUUUCUCGCUAUGUGUAUCAGUAGUAGAAAGGCUUUCUUAUUUUCUUUGAUCGUCUUGAAGUGGCUCUCCUUUGGAUUUUGAUCAGCAUCCUAACUCAACCUUUUUCCCUCCUAUUUGGAAGAAGUCAUUCAUUUAAAACCAACAGAUGGUCAUACUCUUCUUAUCACCAAUGGUAGUUUCAUGGAAUAAAGAAAAGAGGCUGGCUGGGCAUCUAUCUUCAUAUGUUAGAAUGAUGAAAAUAUUAUCUCAUUUUACUAGACUCAAAGAUGAGGCUGGAAAAGGCAUUAAGUGCUUAGAGAUAUGAAUGGAUUCUGUUCAAUUGGAACAAUGGUUAGAGCAAUAUAACUUCCAAGGAAUGGCCAUGGAAUUUGUUUUAUUUCCUUAUAGAUAUUCACUCUUUUUUUCA